GCAGUUGUGGCGGAAUUGGCAUACGCGCUAGAUUCAGGUUCUAGUCCACAUUUCGUGGGUUCGGGUUCAAGUCCCGUCAACUGCA
rnacentral:tRNA from 1 species